rnacentral:RNase_P_RNA from 1 species
GAGGAAAGUCCGGUCUCUAUUUAGAUAUUAGUAGUUGUAUAGUCAACAAUAUAAGUAACUAUGAGGAAAGUGCCACAGAAAUAAACCGCCUAUAUAUUAUAUGGUAAGGAUGCAAAGGUAAGGUAAGAGCUUACCAGAAAUAUUAUUAAGAUAUUUGCUAGGUAAACCCCUACUUAAGAGUAAAGUGAUCUAAUAUAAGUGUAAGUGUUAUCUAACAUUUCACGUGUUAUUAUAUUUGUUAUAUUUACUGCAUAAAGUUUUUAAUAAAACUAUAGAUUAAUAACUACCCUUUAGUAUAUAAUAUUUUUAUUAAAGAACUGAAUCCGGCUUAU